rnacentral:rRNA from 1 species
UACGUAGGGUGCAAGCGUUGUCCGGAUUUAUUGGGCGUAAAGAGCUCGUAGGCGGCUUGGCAAGUCAGGUGUGAAAACUUCAGGCUCAACCUGGAGAUGCCACCUGAUACUGCUAUGGCUUGAGUCCGGUAGGGGACCACGGAAUUCCUGGUGUAGCGGUGAAAUGCGCAGAUAUCAGGAGGAACACCGGUGGCGAAGGCGGUGGUCUGGGCCGGCACUGGCGCUGAGGAGCGAAAGCGUGGGUAGCAAACAGG